GCUGGUUAGCUCAGUUGGUACAGCGCUCCACUGGAAAUGGAGAGGUCCCUUGUUCGGUACAAGGACCAGGCG
rfam:Ixodes scapularis strain Wikel colony gcontig_1108379784592, whole genome shotgun sequence.